CGUGGUGACCUGCGGAGGAUCAUUA
rnacentral:rRNA from 1 species